UACGUAGGUGACAAGCGUUGUCCGGAUUUACUGGGCGUAAAGAGCGCGCAGGCGGUCGUCAAGUCGAGUGUGAAAGCCCCCGGCUCAACUGGGGAGGGUCACGCGAUACUGAUCGACUCGAAGGCAGGAGAGGGUAGUGGAAUUCCCGGUGUAGUGGUGAAAUGCGUAGAUAUCGGGAGGAACACCAGUGGCGAAGGGCGACUACCUGGCCUGUUCUUGACGCUGAGGCGCGAAAGCUAGGGGAGCAAACGG
rnacentral:rRNA from 1 species